AUCAAGAAUCCAAAGAAGAACGAGGAAAAGGAAAAGUUGCGGAAUAGUCCCCAAAUUUCAAUAUCUUCUACAAAUUAGCCGGAUUGACUUGAAGUGAAGUGGGUAGAUCGGAUCAACACAACAAAGCACACUAUCCAGAUCAAUUCCGGUAGCUUUUGUUUUAUGUUUGAAGAUUUAUAUGGCAUGUAUAAAGUUUAAAUGAAAUGAAGUAAAGAUGUUAUAAACUAGUUAACAACAUUUUGUACCAAAACAGUUUUUGGUUAGUAGCAGUAGUUUGAGUUUGAAAAAUUACCAUAAA